rnacentral:rRNA from 1 species
UUGAACGCUGGCGGCGUGCCUAAUACAUGCAAGUCGAGCGAACAGACGAGGAGCUUGCUCCUCUGACGUUAGCGGCGGACGGGUGAGUAACACGUGGAUAACCUACCUAUAAGACUGGGAUAACUUCGGGAAACCGGAGCUAAUACCGGAUAAUAUAUUGAACCGCAUGGUUCAAUAGUGAAAGACGGUUUUGCUGUCACUUAUAGAUGGAUCCGCGCCGCAUUAGCUAGUUGGUAAGGUAACGGCUUACCAAGGCAACGAUGCGUAGCCGACCUGAGAGGGUGAUCGGCCACACUGGAACUGAGACACGGUCCAGACUCCUACGGGAGGCAGCAGUAGGGAAUCUUCCGCAAUGGGCGAAAGCCUGACGGAGCAACGCCGCGUGAGUGAUGAAGGUCUUCGGAUCGUAAAACUCUGUUAUUAGGGAAGAACAAAUGUGUAAGUAACUAUGCACGUCUUGACGGUACCUAAUCAGAAAGCCACGGCUAACUACGU